rnacentral:ncRNA from 1 species
UUUCCUCUGAAGUUUCUCUCAGGAUAGCUGGAAUACGUAAUGAAGCUGUUAUAUUCGAUAAAGCGAAUGAUUAGAGGAAUUGUGGGACGAAAUGUCUUCAACCUAUUCUCAAACUUUCAGUGAGUAUGACAUUUUGCUUGCUUGCAUGAAGCAUAGACAUUGAAUAUGUGCUUCAAGAGGCUAUCUUUGAUGAGCAAAACUGGCGCUGUGGGAUGAAUCAAACAUUGAGUUAAAUUCAUUAAGUUCUUCAUAUGACUCAUAAUCCUCCGCAGCAUUGACAAUUUCAGUUCAAAUCUUCUUGCUAUCAUUUUGAUUAAGGUCAAGUGAAUGAAAUGAAUGCUUGGUUAUAGAAUGCUCAGAUCGACAUUCACGGUG